UACGGGGGGGGGCAAGCGUUGUUCGGAAUUACUGGGCGUAAAGGGCUCGUAGGCGGCCAACUAAGUCAGACGUGAAAUCCCUCGGCUUAACCGGGGAACUGCAUCUGAUACUGGAUGGCUUGAGUUCGGGAGAGGGAUGCGGAAUUCCAGGUGUAGCGGUGAAAUUCGUAGAUAUGGGGAGGAACACCGGUGGCGAAGGCGGGGACCUGGACGGAUACUGACGCUGAGACGCGAAAGCGUGGGUAGCAAACAGG
rnacentral:rRNA from 1 species